GAUGAACGCUGGCGGCGUGCCUAAUACAUGCAAGUCGAGCGAACAGAUGAGGAGCUUGCUCCUCUGACGUUAGCGGCGGACGGGUGAGUAACACGUGGAUAACCUACCUAUAAGACUGGGAUAACUUCGGGAAACCGGAGCUAAUACCGGAUAAUAUAUUGAACCGCAUGGUUCAAUAGUGAAAGACGGUUUUGCUGUCACUUAUAGAUGGAUCCGCGCCGCAUUAGCUAGUUGGUAAGGUAACGGCUUACCAAGGCAACGAUGCGUAGCCGACCUGAGAGGGUGAUCGGCCACACCGGAACUGAGCCACGGUCCAGACUCCUACGGGAGGCAGCAGUAGGGAAUCUUCCGCAAUGGGCGAAAGCCUGACGGAGCAACGCCGCGUGAGUGAUGAAGGUCUUCGGAUCGUAAAACUCUGUUAUUAGGGAAGAACAAAUGUGUAAGUAACUAUGCACGUCUUGACGGUACCUAAUCAGAAAGCCACGGCUAACUACGUG
rnacentral:rRNA from 1 species